UACGGGGGGGGCAAGCGUUGUUCGGAGUUACUGGGCGUAAAGGGCGCGCAGGCGGCGGUGCUGGCCCGGCGUGAAAGCCCCCGGCUCAACCGGGGAGGGUCGUCGGGGACCGCACCGCUUGAGGGCGGUAGGGGCUGGUGGAAUGCCUGGUGUAGUGGUGAAAUGCGUAGAGAUCAGGCGGAACACCCGUGGCGAAGGCGGCCAGCUGGGCCGACCCUGACGCUGAGGCGCGAAGGCGUGGGGAGCGAACGGG
rnacentral:rRNA from 1 species